AUUGCCAAAAGCGGACAUCAAUAGAUGUAAUGCAAAAAUAGUGUCUUGUGUUCAAAAAAGGUUGGGAAAUACUGAGUGAAAGAAAAAUGCACAAACCAUAGGCACACAGCUCGAGGAAUUAUCAGGAAUUGGACAUGUCCACGUGUGCCCAACCCCGCUCUCCAGCACACCCUCCCAGCCUCAACCCAUCAUCUGGAUUCCGAGGUUCUUGGCUCCAGUGAGGACGUUAUUGCUGAGAAUUAGAUGCUGAAGUUGGCACCAUCAAAUAACUAGUCCUGGAUGCAUGUCACUAGUAGCAGCCAUCUCACUGCCUCAGGAACUCAGGUUUACCAUGGUCACCAUGGUCUUGGAGAAUACUCACCUCAUCCUUUUUGUGCAUCACUCGCUCUCAAUUCUAAAAAAGGAGAGAACAUCUGAUUGGCAAAGCCUAGGUGAUACAAAUAUCUGGAGUUCUCAUCUUUUGUAAUGGGAAGUAACUCUGCUUGCUGUUAAGACUCACAGAGUAAAUAAUCACCAGCUCCUGGAGGGGCUCGUGGGUAGGUAUGGAGAGAGAUGAGCAAUGGUCUACACAGAUGACAGAACAUAUCCGCAUCCCUAAGCAGCUUUGGAGUAAACCAGAGUAAAAGCAACCAAAACAGAGUCCAAGUCAGGGUCCUUCCAUCCUCAAACCAGGCUCCAGUGG
rnacentral:lncRNA from 1 species